CGUGGACCCGUAAUCCGGGUUGCGGACAGUGUCUGGUGGGUAGUUUGACUGGGGCGGUCUCCUCCUAAAGAGUAACGGAGGAGCACGAAGGUUGGCUAAUCCUGGUCGGACAUCAGGAGGUUAGUGCAAUGGCAUAAGCCAGCUUGACUGCGAGCGUGACGGCGCGAGCAGGUGCGAAAGCAGGUCAUAGUGAUCCGGUGGUUCUGAAUGGAAGGGCCAUCGCUCAACGGAUAAAAGGUACUCCGGGGAUAACAGGCUGAUACCGCCCAAGAGUUCAUAUCGACGGCGGUGUUUGGCACCUCGAUGUCGGCUCAUCACAUCCUGGGGCUGAAGUAGGUCCCAAGGGUAUGGCUGUUCGCCAUUUAAAGUGGUACGCGAGCUGGGUUUAGAACGUCGUGAGACAGUUCGGUCCCUAUCUGCCGUGGGCGCUGGAGAACUGAGGGGGGCUGCUCCUAGUACGAGAGGACCGGAGUGGACGCAUCACUGGUGUUCGGGUUGUCAUGCCAAUGGCACUGCCCGGUAGCUAAAUGCGGAAGAGAUAAGUGCUGAAAGCAUCUAAGCACGAAACUUGCCCCGAG
rnacentral:rRNA from 2 species